UUGUAUUACAUCUGGCCAUCCUGUGAAGCUGCUGGUCAGCAGAUGACAUUAAGAUAACCUUCCUAAAACAUGAGAGCAUAAAAAAAGAUGAUGAUCAGGAAAUGUAAUCAGUCUCUACAUCUCUACAAUCCACUGGGUUUGUGAAGCAGAGAGAGAGACAGAGAGAGACAGAGACAGAGAGAGACUAACCCAGGACAGCAAUUGUUUAUAUUGAGAAAGGAAGCAGGGAGACAUACUAUACCUUCACUAUCAUCAGAUCUUUCAUGCAUUUUGCCAUAUGUCAGCCUCACAACAAAGCUGCAAAGUGCUGGAAAAAAAAACAACACAAAGCUGAACUGAAGCAAAAGAAAACUCCCCUUAUUUCAUCAUUUUAUCUGUUCUCUAAUGAGAAACCUCAGAAAAAGAUUAAAAGAAAGGUCACCUUUUAUUGAGCAGAAGGAAAUGUAUGCAGAUAGUUGAUAUUCUGGACUGCUUAUAAAAUGAACUCAAAUCUGGAGCCAUCAACCUCAGUAAUAACUCAUUUCUUACAAUAAGCGGACAAUGGCUGACGAGUAGUGGAGAACAUUUAACUUAUGGAACAUCUGCUAUGCUUGGUGUUGGUACAAUUUGGUUGUUUUAAAGAACAUUGAUCUAAAUUGAGAAACAAUUUCAACUGAUUAUGAGAAAAACUGGGAGAUGCACUUAAACUGAGCUUAUCUAUGUCUUCCUAGAUAAGGUCCAAGGAAAAAAUUUCAAGGCACACAUGCUAUUCUAAAUGGAUAAUACCAGUAUUAGAGAUCCAGGUUAUAAAAUAUGCAGGGAGACAAUCACAGCACAUUUCUGUUUUAAAUAAAGGCCAAGAGCUCCAGGGCAAAUAUGAAGAGAAGGAUAAGUAAAAUGAAAGAAUAGCUAAAGUUUUUUAGGACUCUACAUAGAUUAGACAUUGUCAUGUGCAGUACCUUGGGUCACAAAUGCUUUUGGGUCAUGAACAAAAGCAUUUGGCAAAUUUUUGUUUUUGUUUACAAACUCUACAUUGGGUGACAAACCCACGAGCGUGGCCAUCUUUUCCAAAGUCAUGGGGCAAAUGAAGUUUGUGAAUUGAGGUACUACAGUACUUAUUUUAUCUAAUUCUCACAGCAGUCCUAAGACAUAGGGUUCAAAGAUGGACCAGCUAAGUCUUAGAAUUUACAACUUGUCUUUUUUACACAACAAUAACUGCUGAAUCAAGAUUCUAAGUUGUUAAUUUAAUAAGUGGUACCAACUCUUCAGAGAAGAAUUAUCCCAGCCUUCUCUGCUACUCAAGCAGCUCCUCUUCCAAUUGUUGCCUUUUCAUUCACAUUAUUCUUCUCCAAAGCCAUCCUCUAGCUAGACUCACAAAAUCCUUCUCCCACCUGUGGAACAGUUCUGGACC